GCCUGGGUGGCUGAGUUGGUUAAGCAUCUGACUCUUGAUUUUGGCUCAGCUCAUGAUCUCAGGAUUUGUGGGUUUGAGCCAUGCCUUGGGCU
rnacentral:tRNA from 1 species